ACUCCGUACUCCGUGCCGUCGGGUCAUCGGUUUCCUAAACCGGGGGUCGCAGGUUCGAAUCCUGCCGGGGUCG
rnacentral:tRNA from 1 species